CUUCACCGACGUCUCUGAAACCUCCUGCCUGCUCCCGGCGCUGCGGAACGAACCCAGCCUGUGAUCCGGACCAAAACACUCUGCUGAGGCGCAUGGAAAACACGCUGCGUCACCGCGACGCCGAUGACGUCACCCAAAGCCCAAGGCCACUUCACAAGUCGCCCAGGAAGGACACACUUAACAACGUAUGCUGGUGGAAGGAGGAGCGGCAUGGAGGCUCCAGAUUCACACCUGAAGAACCAGAACCACGGUGGUUGGGUCACUGGAGAGUGGAGGGAGGAGGAGGGGGGGACCCAGCCUCGCUCCAUGGGCGAGGUACUGUAGCUCCCUCCCACCCUGCAGACUGGCC